AAGUCGUAACAAGGUUUUCGUAGGUGAACCUGCGAAAGGAUCAUUGGUGAACUUAGGGUGACUCUGCAAAGAGAAGCCCGACACACUAUUUUCACACACUUGUGCAUUUAAACCUUUUUUACAUUCUAUGUAAAAACUCUUGUGUUGAUUCACAGUCUUGUAAUGUACAAACAUGUAAAAUGAAAGUAAAA
rnacentral:misc_RNA from 1 species